ensembl:misc_RNA
AAGACUUCACAAAGGUUUCAUAACCACACUCGAGACGCUGAUUUGAGCCUCUCCCAAUUCUCUAAUAACCUUGUUAGAGGUUAACCAGGCAGGGCUUAAUAUGGCUCUUCACCAGUGGUUUCUGGCUGCAUUUGGUGUCACC